rnacentral:rRNA from 1 species
GACAGAGGCCUCGAGCGUUAGGCGGAAUUACUGGGCUUAAAGCGUGUGUAGGCGGAUCGUUAAGUGCCUUGUGAAAUCCCACGGCUUAACUGUGGAACGGCUGGGCAUACUGGCGGUCUUGAGCCAUCUAGGGGCGACUGGAACAAACGGUGGAGCGGUGAAAUGCGUAGAUAUCGUUUGGAACGCCAAUGGUGAAAACAGGUCGCUGGGGAUGAGCUGACGCUGAGACACGAAAGCCAGGGGAGCAAACGGG